rnacentral:lncRNA from 1 species
UUUUCAUUGCAUAAUAAUUGUGAUUUAAAAACCACAUCAUCAUAUGCUAACUGGAGCCUAAGAGAGAUUAAAUUAAGUAACACGAAACGAGAAGAAAGUGGACCAUAUGUCCCGGAGAAGACGCCGUUGAUCCCAUCAUCCAAUCAGCAGCUUCUUAAUUUUAUGUAUAUAUAUCUUAAUCUCAUAAGCAGAAGAGAGAGGCUAGAGUAACAGUCUGGUGUAUGCAUUACGUAAGGUCGCUAGUAAUCAAGAACAUGAACCCUAGCUAAUGUUAAAAUAGCAAAUAGAGAAAAAAAAGUAAGGGGAUUUAGAAAAACACAAAAUUAAUAUCCGACAUGGUGCAUCGAAUUGGGUUCAUAGAAUUCAGGGCGUAGGAGGUGCGAUAGUGAAGGCUUGCAGUUAAGAAAUUAAAUAGAUCAGUAUUUAGUAUUCUCUCUAUAGAUCAACAAGAACUAGUGGAAAAAAAGAGAUAGUGGAUGUAUACACACACACACACACACACCUCAUUUAUACCUCAUCUAUUCUCUUGAGUAAUUAGCUGCCAUUGGUUCGUUAAUUCAAUCUUUCGUCUCCCCUUGGCAUCGCAUUCAUUCGGCCUUAUGCUGGGCACAUAGGGGUCAGAAUGGCGGGCCGGUAGCGCUAUUGCUGGCUACAUAUAUGCAGUCAAUGAUUGUUGUUUUUGCAUCAAAUUGUCUGUCAGUGUUUUUGUCAGCAGGCACCACCCACGCUUCUCCUUCUACUCAUUCACGCCCACACGCCUUGGUUUCUUUUUCACCAUUCAUUUCCAUUACUCGAUGCACUCGUUCAAUCAGUUAAAUCUUCCUUAUUAUUUACAUACACUACUCUCGUGCUCUUUCACUAGCGGCUAAUCCAAUAUAUAUAGACCUUGCCUUAGCUAGUAGCUACCAACCUGCUUUCUCCUACUUUCUUUUUCUACUCUUGUCAUUU